CUGGGACUACAGGCACCUGCCACCACACCCAGCUAAUUUUUUGUAUUUUUAGUAGAGACGGGGUUUCACCGUUUUAGCCAGGAUGGUCUCGAUCUCCUGACCUUGUGAUCCGCCCACCUCGGCCUCCCAAAGUGCUGGGAUUACAGGCGUGAGCCACCAUGCCUGGCCCACCCCCGGCAUCUCUCUUAUCAGACCCUUGUGAUGGCAUUGGGUCUACGUGGAUAAUGCAGGAUAAUCUCUCUAUGCCGAGAUCCUCAACUAAAUCACUGCCCCAAAGUCCUUUACCAAGUAGAGUAAUACAUUUACAGGAUCUGGGGAUCAGGAUGUGUCAUCUUCAGGGGGGCCAUUAUUCAGUCUACCACGAUGUCCAAAAAAAGUAUCUAAUUUAUAAAUAGCCUGACCCUGGUGGUGUGGUGGUGUGGGACAGGGUAGAGAGAAUGUGAGGAUACCAGGCUGAGCAAAUCUGCACCCAUUUCCCAGGGGGACUACAGCUCUGUGUCCUAUACCAGCACUGAAGCCUCAAUUCUAGUCUAAUCUGCAGCCUCGGAUGAGGGGAAGACCACUUUGUGGAGGCAAGCUGUCUUCUCUAUAUGAAGGCAUCUGAGAUGAUUACUGGUGGCACUCUAGAUUGGACGUUUGAACAUUUCCCAAACACAAAGCAAAAAAUCAAAAAGAAAGAAGCCAGUAUCUACUGGACAAGGCAGUGUGCAAGGCAGUUUCCCAGAGAGAUGGAAACACAAAGCUGUCCUCGGAGAAGUAACUCACUGAGAAGAAGGCUGUUCAUGGGGCAUGUUUGACACUGGUCCUCCGCCGGCCCCAUGCAGUGGAAGCACUUAACAUGGCAGGGCUUGCACCCGGGAGCAUCCUCAUCCCAGUACUCGGAGGGUGAGCACUUCUCGUUGGCCAUGCAGCUCCCACGAGGGUUCAUGAUCAGGCCUUUCUGACAGGUGGUGCAGGUCCCAGAUGAUGAGCAGGUCAAGCAGGACUUGUGGCAAUCUGUGGGCGUGGAGGGGCAGCAGACAGAGUGAGCGAGAGCCAGGGUGGCCCUCGUGGGAAUGGCUUCCCCUGGGAAAGGGUCUUCACAUUCCUUUCACAUUUCUUCCGGAGAUUUCCAGAGCUCUGGGCCAAUGGUGUGGGGCCAUGAGUUGAGUACAGCCCUUGAGCUCUGGGGUGGACCAUUCUUUUGCAAAAUGAGAGAAAAUUAUUAUUUUAUUUUCUCUGUUGUAUCCAGAGAGGGCUUUCCUGCAAUAGCCAUCUCAGAAAUAUUAGUAAGGCUCACUAUAAUUACCCAAACUGCAACAAAAUAAUAACAAGCCAUUCUGUAAUGGCAUCGAAUUUUCCACCGUCACAACACCUACUGUUAUGGUCCUCCACUCACCUCCGGAGUACCUUGAGCUUAUCACGAAUACAGCAAUUGUUGGAAUGUAUUUAAUUGUCUGUUGACAAAUAAAGGUCCCUUUUGCAUUUA